rnacentral:lncRNA from 10 species
CCGGCCCCGGGCAAUGAGGGGCUUAGCACCCGGGCCAGCGGCUGCGGAGGAUGUACUGGGUCCCCCAGCAGUUCCAGCCCACCGGCGCUUUGCUCGAUUUCUCACCGGGCCUUAGCUGCCUUCCCUCGGGGCAGGGCUCCGGACCUGCAGCCCACCAUGCCUGAGCCUCCCACCCACUCCAUGGGCUCCUGUGCGGCCUGAGCCUCCCUGACGAGCGCCACCCCCUGCACCGGGGCGCCCAGUCCCAUCGACCACCCAAGGGCUGAGGAGUGCGGGCGCAAGGCACCGGGACUUGCAGGCGGCUCCACCUGCAGCCCCGGUGCGGGAUCCACUGGGUGAAGCCAGCUGGGCUCCUGAGUCUGGUGGGGAUGUGGAGAACCUUUGUGUCUAGCUCAGGGAUUGUAAACGCACCAAUCAGCGCCCUGUCAAAACAGACCACUCGGCUCUACCAAUCAGCAGGAUGUGGAUGGGGCCAGAUAUAAAAGCAGGCUGCCCGAGCUAGCAGUGGCAACCGGCUCGGGUCUCCUUACGCACUGUGGAAGCUUUGUUCCUUCGCUCUUUGCAAUAAAUCUUGCUACUGCUCACACUUUGGGUCCACACUGCCUUUAUGAGCUGUAACACUCACCGGGAAGGCCUGCAGCUUCACUCCUGAGCCAGCGAGACCACGAGCCCACCAGGAGGAACGAACAACUCCAGAGGCGCCGCCUUAAGAGCUGUAACCCGGCAAAGGUCUGCAGCUUCACUCCUGAGCCAGGGAGACCACGAACCCACCAGAAGGAAGAAACUCCAAACACAUCCGAACAUCAGAAGGAACAAACUCCAGACGCGCCACCUUAAGAGCUGUAACACUCACUGGGAGGGUCCGCGGCUUCAUUCUUGAAGUCAGUGAGACCAAGAACCCACCAAUUCCGGACACAUAACCACUAUGCUAGACCAGAUACAGGAAAUCUUCAUAACCUCAGGAAGUUCUCCUGUGCCUCUUUGCAGUCACUUCCUCUCCGUGUCUUCCUCCCACCCCCGCCAUCUGAGGCAACCACAACUGGAAUUUCUAUCAUAUUGUGUUAAAUUACUACUUCUAGAAAUUCAUGUAAAUGAAAUCAACCAGAAUGUGAUGUUUUCAGAUAUAUGAUCUCUGGUUGUUUUGUGAUCCCAGGAUCUACUGAGAUGUAUAGCAUAAGAAGUUAUACACAUCCUGGAUUUUGGACUUGUCUAAAUUCUGAGUGAUGAAGACGUUAUGGUGCCAAAACAUUCAUUUGAUGAGAAGUCAAUUGGGGGUCAGUUUAUUGAUUGGUUAAGACAGUAUUUCACAAAGUUGAAUGCACAGAAAGCCCUGUGACAACUCCUGGAAGUUUUCCAUCUGAAUAUGUGCAUCUCUAUUUUUUGUGUAGUACAAGUUUAGCUCAAUAUUGAGCUAAGAACAAGGAAUAACUAUCUCUUGCAACUUCUGCUUCUCUUCAUCCUCAAAAACAUCCUCCUAGUUCAACCUCUGAUUACUUGUGCUAAGCCAAUUGUACCAGAUUCCUCUCACUUAAGAGAACUACAAAUUGGUUGGAUUUGACAAUAAGCCAGCUUUGCCCAGAGCGAAAGGGCCCUGAGUUAUAGCAAAAGAAAAUAAAAUGGAACCCUGGAGGAGCCCCAUAGGAAAUCCAUGUGAGAAAAACACCGCACUUUAUAAGUGCAUGCGGAGCAG